rnacentral:tRNA from 1 species
GCCCCUAUAGCUCAGUGGUAGAGCACCCGCUUAGUAAGCGAAGGUCGGUAGUUCGAUCCUGCCUGGGGGCA